CAGGCCAAGAAUCAUCCUUAACCCUCAUUGGCCAGAUGUCUCCACAAGGCAUCUCGAGUAUGCUUAGCAUGAGGAUGAUCGAAAAGUGCCGAGGAACCUACCCUCCUCAAUAUUGUCUCGCCCAAUCUAUCGAGGAGGAGGCCUACGAGGACAUUCCUGAUGAUGUCUCGCCAUAGCACGAAGGCCCACCGUCUCAGCCACCACCACCCUCUCGUCCA
rnacentral:lncRNA from 1 species